rnacentral:misc_RNA from 1 species
UACACGAACGCAUCCAUAAUUUCUCGUGAAGGUUCUGCAAACAUAAGUAUCUGUCUUUCCAAAACCACACCCGGUGUUGCUAACUGUGAUAUAACUAAGAAAAAAUUGUAACGCUGAUAAAACUCGAAUAAAAACAUCCCAACGUGUGCUUUAUCUUCAAAUUCUUUUCGGAAGUCUUCGAAAGCGACACGCACGAGCCAGUGACGGUGAUCAAAGUGUGUCACUUGCACUUGCCGCGCGGUCCACGGAGAAGAGAGAAAACCUGCACACACCACCGACGCCGAUCGUCGCCGUAGAAGUAGGUCGAGAAGAAAUAGCCGCGAUGCGUGCGAAUCCACGCAAACGAAAC